CCGCUCUCUCCAUCCGGUCUCUUUAUUCUGAUUCUCUCAGAGUGAGUCCGUAAGUGCGGCAGGGACGUCCGUGGAGACUUUGUUUCUCGAGUCGUCUCUUGCUAUGCACUUUGACGUUAGCAAUUUGGCUCUUCAUUCUGAUUUUCUCAGAGUGAAUCCCUGAGUGCGGUAAGGACGUCCGUGGAAACUUUGUUUCUCGAGUCGUCUCUUGCUAUGCAUUUUGACAAUCAGCGUAUUUGAGAAUAAAGUCUUGAACGCAACUACGAGCCUUGAAGAAUCGUCGACUUAUUAUUUUAUCCCUGCCUUGAGCUAGAAGCCACUGCAGAGGUCUGCUACUUCAUCUGCUACGUUCCAGAGCUGACGUGAGCAGUCUUGUCUUGUUUUGUCUUGUUGAAAAUCGACGAGGAAAUAUAAAAAGGCUCAUGUUAUGGUAUAGGAAUCGUCCUCAUGCGACAUUCCUGGAACCAGACCCACCAAUUGCUCCCCAGUAUAUGCUGAGGUUCGCAAAUUGUGGACGUUUAAGGUGCUAUAUAGACUAUAACGCUAGUGUAGUUUAUUGCACAAACUGCUACUUUACAGAGGAUUCAAAUUCUCUUUUCAAUUUCGAAUUAUUACUAUCACAUUACGUUGUUGAUGGAAUUACAAAACCUCAUAUGACGUGUUUAAAAUGUUUCAAGGAAAUACCAGAGUAUAAAUUAUUACGCGAAUGUGAUGUCUGCCAAAGAGAACACUUGAUUUUCCUCGGCAACGAGAGAAAUCAAGAUGUCGUAAAUGGAAACAAAACCUUUAUAGUAAUUCAUAGUGGUCAAAACUUUAGCUUGUCAUGGCCUAAUGUACAUACUGAUAAUGCCAGGACCUAAGCCAAUCUUGAAUCCGUUCCAGGAUAACCUUGAACCUGUUGAUAAUUUUAUUAUAUCUUGUAACAAAGUUUUUGGAUAUCUGUAUACCAGAUCUCCGGAGCGAACGUACAUUUGUAAACUGUGCGCGAAUUCCAAUAAUACAGAACGCAUAGUCGGACACGGAUUCACGGAAGGUGUGCCUAGCAUUUUUAAUUGUGUAAUUUGCGAUAAAUCAAUUUACCAAACGCAACCAAUAGCAAACUGCUCGAGCUGCCUAGUCGCUCGCGAGCGAAUACUCAGGCACCUCGAGGAGGCAAACAUACCUCGACGAAAUAUAAAAAUUCUAGUUUAUGACACUGAUAAUCGCGAAAUAACAUACUUUUCUUAUUUGAAACCGCCAACUUAUGAAAUUGUGCGUGGCGUAAGUCUAAAUCGACUAGCAUAUGAACAGAGACGCGACGCCAACCAAUAACUUGUAAACACUAUAGUACAAAUCCAGACAAAUUGUACAUGGAGCGGUCAGUACGUUCAGUGGUCAUUGCCUAUCCUGAAAGAUAUCUACUAUCUUGUAUCAAAGGAGUUAGAUAUCAGCCUAAUAAUAAUAUAUCCGGGCACCUCUGCAAAGGAUGUGCCGAAGGUCUUGAACUUGAUUGUGAAAUGACACAUGGAUUUCUGGACGGCCACUGGUUGCCUCAUGCAUGUAUCGAAUGUAAUGGACCUCUUAUAAAAGUACGCCCGGUAGCAUCUUGCCGAUUGUGCUUCUCAGCAUACCGAUAUCUAAUGAACGAUCUCGCUGUUCAUGGAAUUACUCACGAGCACAUUUUUCGACUUUCGUACGAUGUAGACUCUCACAGAAUCACUGACUUAAUUUUGCGAGAAUAACGCAAUAAUCAUGAUAAGUGCACAAAAAUUGAUUACAGUACACAGGACUUUUGUUAAUUGCAAUAUUAGUGCUUUUACUAUUAGAAUCAGGAUUAUACAUAUCAUUUGUCACACUGGAUGUAGAGUUAGGAACGAUCAUGCUGAUAGUAUGUGUCAGCAUUUGUCUAGUGAUUAUUAUCAUGAUUAUAUUGAUUCUUUGCUUUACGAUAACUACGUUCUUUACAGAAGUAAUCGAGAAUCUUGUUGAUUAGAUUAAUUUUAAUCGACACUUAGAUGAACGUAAAAUGUUUCAAGUUUUUCCAUUACCAGUAACAAGAAAACUUCAUAGAUUGGAGGAUCUCGCGCUGCCUUUGGCUUUAGAUAAGGUACUGCGAGACGCAUCCAAAUUAAGCCUUCGCUUAGGCAUUGACGUAUAUAUUUACAACUUCUCAGGAUAUCGGGAAAUAAAGAAAUUUUGCCAAACCGAUUUUGUAGAUGAAAUAAUAAAUUUUUUUUGUGACCAAGGACGACAGAAUUUGUAUCCAAGGCGCCGAACGCCUUUCAGCUGUCCUCCUCGGAGAUAAAGCUGUCAAACACUACAAAAGAUUUCAAGAACUAGGAUUAACAAUUUUCAAGGAUAAAUCAGGAAUAUAUUACUUUGAAAAGGAAGUUAUACCCUAUAAUGUUAUUAAAGAAAAUAUGACUACUUUUGGUGACGUAUCUCAAUGGAAAAGUGAUGAUUGGACAAAUUACUUUAAUGUGUGGAAAGAGAAAUGCCCCUCAUUUUGGGACUACCGUCAGCAUUUCCAUUGCCUUUAUUUUUUCCCCUGAUUUAACUAAAAUACUAAUCUUGUGGAAAUGAUAAAACUCUUAACUUCGAUUAAAAAUUGCACAAGCUGCAAGACAUUGCGCUUGCGCACGUAGCAGACAAAACUUUGUGGGAAGCCUCUGUAUUAAGCUCUCAAUUGAAUGUUAACGUUUAUAUUUAUAAUUACCCCGAACACCGUGAAAUUAAAAGGGAAAUAUUCAACAAGUUUUACAAAGAAGGGAAAAUUAAGACAUUAGUAACAAAAGAUAAUAGAAUUGCUGUAGAAGGAACUAUUUACCUCUCAAUGGUUUUAUCUAAAGAUCAAGCACUAACCUGGUUUGAGUAUUUCCACAGACAAAUAGGCUUACCCAUUUAUUUAGACGAAACAGGAAUAUUUUACUACGAGGAGAAAAUUACACCCUAUUCAUUCAUUAAAGAAAAUUUAGAUUCACUUGGAGAUACAUCUGAAUGGCCUCACCAUUAUUGGAAAAGAUAUUUUACUUUGUGGUAUGAAUACGGUCCUUGUAAGAUCCAUGCACGAAGUAAACAUUUUAACAUUUCCUGAUUUAUUUAAAUGAUUAAUUUACGUUGCGUACCAUUAAUGCUACGAAUAACCAAAAUGAUCAAAUUACUGACAUCGACCAAGAAAGUACAUAUGCUGCAAGAUUAUGCACUUGCGCAUACAGCCGAUAAUAUGAUACGAAAAGCGUCAAUUUUAAGUUAUCAAUUCGAUAAGAAUAUCUACAUUUACCAUUUUCUCGGAAAUCGAGAAACCAAACGCCGUAACUAUAUUGAUUUUGCUAACCAAAGAAUUUAUUAUUUGACAAUGAGCGAUAACAGAAUUGCUACAGAUGACACUGUUUGUCUCUCGGCAAUCCUGCCCGAAGAACGAGCGUUAAGUUGGUUCAAAUAUUUUACCGAACAAAUAACCAUGUCAAUUUAUACGGAUGAAACAGGAAUAUACUAUUACGAAAAGAAGUUUGUCCCUUACUAUUAUCUUAAAGAUAAUCUGAACACACUCGGUGACACCACCGGUUGGACUUACGAUGACUGGAAAAGAUAUUUCUGGUUAUGGAAUCAAACUGGUGCACCUAUAACUUGGAACCAAUUUGGAAUCAACAAUUUUUACAUGCUUCUUGAUUCAUCCGAAUAACCAACACAUAAUGUGUAGAAUUACCUCUAUAUGUUAACUUACGCCCUAGCAAAAGGCUCAAUACGUCAAUACAGUUCAUAACCAUAUUACUAAUUUAGAGACUUAUUGUAUGAGUAUUGACAUAUUAAGAUAUUAAAAGCAGCAAUUAAUUUCUCGUAUCUUUAUACCAAUAGAUAGCAGCAAAGAAAGGUUUCAAAAGGACACUCCAAAAUGUUUGCAAUAGACAAAGAGAUAUUCCCAACCAAGGUGCAAACACUACAAGAGCUUGCAUUACCGAUUGUUGUCGAAAAAGCUCUACGAGAUGCCUCUAAGCUGAGCCUACGUCUUGGUAUAGACAUCUACUUUUAUAACACCUCUGGGAACCGAGCGAUAAAAGGAUAUAGUUACAUAGAUUUUAUCGACGGACUAGUGAAUUUUAUCAUAAUGAAAGACGAUAGAAUUGCAGUGGAAAAUGCUCCAUAUCUUUCCGCGAUUUGGACGGAAUCAUGGGCGAAUAAAUAUUUUAAGUUUUUUGUUAACAAUAUGAUACCGAUUCAUAAGGAUAGAUCCGGGAUAUGUUACUACGAAACUAAGUUACCACCAUACCACGUCAUAAAGGCAAACAUGACCGAAUUCGGUGAUAUGAAGCAAUGGUCCGACGAUAAGUGGAUGGAAUAUUUUAAAUUAUGGGAGAAGUGUCCACCACUUCGGCAAAAACGUUCGCAAGCUUUCAUUUUCCCAGAAGCCUCUGAACUAUCCUAAUGAUUACUUCAUCUCGUUCUUACAUAUAUAAGAUUUAUUAUCCACAUAUCGUUUGCACUAUAUAAUUAUACUUUAAUCAAAUUUCUGUAUCAUUCUUUUAUAUUAACCUUGCACUAAGGUCAAUGACGUAGAUUAUCAACUUUAAAAUUAGAAUAAGAAAAUGUAAGAAACAUAACACAAAAAUAUUAUGUUGUUAUAUCCAUUAGCUUGUUGUUAUUAAUAUUAUCAUAUUAUAUCCAGUCUUUAAAAUGAUACAGAAAAGCCAAAUACAAAAUGAAAAAUGAUAGUUUACACGCCAGAAAAAUCAAACAAAAUUGUACCCCCUUUUACCUAGUAAUAAGGUACAGCCACAAUAACGUGUUAUUUGUAAAACUAAGUAUAUCCGUUAGUACUUAAGAAUUUAUAUUGUUAUGCGUAUACUACUUACUAAUUCUUGUUAGUAAUAAUGUUAAAACGUCACGUUGAUCAUGUUCAGAAAAAA